UAGUCCACGCCGUAAACGAUCAUCACUCGCUGUUGGCGAUAUACUGUCAGCGGCCAAGCGAAAGUAUUAAGUGAUGCACCUGGGGAGUACGUUCGCAAGAAUGAAACUCAAAGGAAUUGACGGGGGCCCGCACAAGCGGUGGAGCAUGUGGUUUAAUUCGAUGAUACGCGAGGAACCUUACCAGGGCUUAAAUGUUAGGUGACAGAUCUAGAAAUAGAUUUUCUUCGGACACUUAACAAGGUGCUGCAUGGUUGUCGUCAGCUCGUGCCGUGAGGUGUCAGGUUAAGUCCUAUAACGAGCGCAACCCCUGUUGUUAGUUGCCAGCGAGUAAUGUCGGGAACUCUAGCAAGACUGCCAGUGCAAACUGUGAGGAAGGUGGGGAUGACGUCAAAUCAUCACGGCCCUUACGUCCUGGGCUACACACGUGCUACAAUGGUAGGUACAGAGAGCAGCCAAUGCGCGAGCAUGAGCAAAAUCUAUAAAACCUA
rnacentral:rRNA from 1 species